GAUGAAGAACGUAGCAAAAUGCGAUAAGUAAUGUGAAUUGCAGAAUUCAGUGAAUCAUCGAAUCUUUGAACGCACAUUGCGCCCGCUGGUAUUCCGGCGGGCAUGCCUGUUCGAGCGUCAUUUCAACCCUCAAACCCCCCGGGUUUGGUGUUGGGGAUCGGCUCUGCCUCACGGCGGUGCCGCCCCCGAAAUACAUUGGCGGUCUCGCUGCAGCCUCCAUUGCGUAGUAGCUAACACCUCGCAACUGGAACGCGGCGCGGCCAUGCCGUAAAACCCCAACUUCUGAAUGUUGACCUCGGAUCAGGUAGGAAUACCCGCUGAACUUAAGCAUAUCAAUAAGCGGAGGA
rnacentral:misc_RNA from 1 species